rnacentral:tRNA from 1 species
GGGCCCGUGGCCAAGCCGGGAUAAGGCGGCAAGUGACAACACCCGUAAGCCUUCUAUCUUGGUGAGGAAAGCUGCAAAUCGAGGGUUCGAAUCCCUCCGAGCCCGCCA